rnacentral:rRNA from 1 species
CGUGUGCUUACAAGUAGUCAGAGCCCGUUAAUGGGUGAUGGCGUGCCUUUUGUAGAAUGAACCGGCGAGUUACGAUUUGAUGCAAGGUUAAGCAGUAAAUGUGGAGCCGUAGCGAAAGCGAGUCUGAAUAGGGCGUUUAGUAUUUGGUCGUAGACCCGAAACCAGGUGAUCUACCCUUGGUCAGGUUGAAGUUCAGGUAACACUGAAUGGAGGACCGAACCGACUUACGUUGAAAAGUGAGCGGAUGAACUGAGGGUAGCGGAGAAAUUCCAAUCGAACCUGGAGAUAGCUGGUUCUCUCCGAAAUAGCUUUAGGGCUAGCCUCAAGUGAUGAUUAUUGGAGGUAGAGCACUGUUUGGACGAGGGGCCCCUCUCGGGUUACCGAAUUCAGACAAACUCCGAAUGCCAAUUAAUUUAACUUGGGAGUCAGAACAUGGGUGAUAAGGUCCGUGUUCGAAAGGGAAACAGCCCAGACCACCAGCUAAGGUCCCAAAAUAUAUG